rnacentral:rRNA from 1 species
GGGACACGUGGUAUCCUGUCUGAAUAUGGGGGGACCAUCCUCCAAGGCUAAAUACUCCUGACUGACCGAUAGUGAACCAGUACCGUGAGGGAAAGGCGAAAAGAACCCCGGCGAGGGGAGUGAAAAAGAACCUGAAACCGUGUACGUACAAGCAGUGGGAGCACCUUCGGGUGUGACUGCGUACCUUUUGUAUAAUGGGUCAGCGACUUAUAUUCUGUAGCAAGGUUAACCGUAUAGGGGAGCCGCAGGGAAACCGAGUCUUAACUGGGCGUUAAGUUGCAGGGUAUAGACCCGAAACCCGGUGAUCUAGCCAUGGGCAGGUUGAAGGUUGGGUAACACUAACUGGAGGACCGAACCGACUAAUGUUGAAAAAUUAGCGGAUGACUUGUGGCUGGGGGUGAAAGGCCAAUCAAACCGGGAGAUAGCUGGUUCUCCCCGAAAGCUAUUUAGGUAGCGCCUCGUGAACUCAUCUUCGGGGGUAGAGCACUGUUUCGGCUAGGGGGUCAUCCCGACUUACCAACCCGAUGCAAACUACGAAUACCGAAGAAUGUUAUCACGGGAGACACACGGCGGGUGCUAACGUCCGUCGUGAAGAGGGAAACAACCCAGACCGCCAGCUAAGGUCCCAAAGUCAUGGUUAAGUGGGAAACGAUGUGGGAAGGCACAGACAGCCAGGAUGUUGGCUUAGAAGCAGCCAUCAUUUAAAGAAAGCGUAAUAGCUCACUGGUCGAGUCGGCCUGCGCGGAAGAUGUAACGGGGCUAAACCAUGCACCGAAGCUGCGGCAGCGACACUAUGUGUUGUUGGGUAGGGGAGCGUUCUGUAAGCCUGCGAAGGUGUGCUGUGAGGCAUGCUG